rnacentral:lncRNA from 1 species
GCUUCCUCUCCCCCAUGGGAGGACAUGGUGAGAAGGUGGCUGGCUGCAGGCCAGGAAGGAGCCCUCCCGACGACCCAGCCGUGCCGGCAGCCGGAUCUGACUUAGCCUCCAGCACAGGGAGAAAUCAACAUGGUGAGGCUGCCCAGUCUAUGGUGGUUUGUUCUGCAGCCUGCGCAGAGACAGUGGCCUCUGUAUGGAUCUUGGCGCCCAAUUUUGACUGGGCCUAGUACCACCCAAGCUCCAUUUUUCAAAUGGGAGAUAACUGAGCGCCUGACUCCGCAGCUCUGUGGGCCGUGCUGUUACAGCAACGGCAUGCUCAGAUGCUGAAACCCCAGAAGCUUCAGUGAUGUGGCAGGCCUCCGAUAUCUCCCAGCCUGAGGCAGACACCUGCAUUCCUAGGUCAUCUGGGUUCUCCCAGGUCCAGGCAGCAUGAGAUCAUCGACACAGUAGUGACCCUGUAGCCUUAUAGUAAAGCCAGGGUUGACAGCACAGUGGGCAAGGCAGUAAGUGUACUGCAGUCCUCGCCAAGUCAAUGCAAACUGUCUUCUCUCCACGGAUAGGGUGUGGAGAAGAGUGCGGUUGCUGAAUCGGCAGCUGUGCUGAUCUGUUCUGGUAAAGACGCUAUUUGUCACCGCGGCUGUGACUGGAGAGACUACCUGGUCAUGCUGCAGGACCCCACCGCUGCCUUCCAUCACAGCCUGGUGUCUGCAGUGCCCAGUUCCAUGAAUUACAUGGGAAUUGGUGGGCACUGGAAUUUCACCAUCCUUUGAGCCUCUGACAGUGGCUCUGAUCUCUGCAAUUCCUCCAGGAAGGCAGGAUGGAUUUACUAAUUUGGUAGGAAUGGGGAGGGGUGUUCAGAGCCUUCCAGUUGAUGGUCCCUAAUUCAGUGGCUCUGACUUCACAGGUUAAGGAACCAGUGAUGGUUUCUGCCAGCUGCCAGCUCUGCCCAUCCCAAUUAUACACCUGGAGACCCAUAGGCCCUUGUGAGACGGACAUGGGCCUAACUCUACACGCCAUGUGCCUUUCAUAAGACCCCUCUA